UAUAGUGUGGCUCAGUGGCAGAGCACUUGCCUAGCAUGCCUAAGGCCCUGGGUUCAACCCCCAGCAUUGCAA
rnacentral:tRNA from 1 species